AGGUAGUCCAGGUUAACAUCUGUCCCAUCAGGCAACUUGAAGACUGAUGGUCUCUGAUAAAUAGAUAUUUCCUCUUCGUUGUCUGACUGCAGAAUGAAAAAAAAGGAGGGAUACUGCUGUUCUAUACUCCACACACGAGAGUGACACUGGCAUUGACUAUGGUUUGAUUCAAUUCCUCACAAAACAGGGUCACAGGGGAGCCUGGAGACCAUCCCAUGGAACUUCGGGCACAAGGCGAGUGCCAAACCAUCGCAGAGCACAAUUGCACACAAAUUCACAAACUACCGGCUACUUGGAAAUGCCAAUCAGCCUACAAUGCAUGUCUUUAGACUGGAGGUGGAAACCAGAGUACCUGGAGGAAAACCCCAAAACAAGGGGAGAACAUGCAAACUCUGUGCACACACACAGAUUCGAACCCCCAACCCCGGAAGUGUGGCACAAACAUGCUAACCACUAAGCCACCGUGCCCCCUGGAUUAUGCAUAAAACUGACAAAUAGGAGUAACAGUUAUGUCAUGGACAUUAGUCAGUUAGUCAAUUAGUCACUGAGUGAUUGCAGAACAAAUUAUAAUUUGUCAUGAAACAUUUACAAGAGAAAAAUAGCAGGGAAUAAUCUAUGCACACAUGCAUUGUGCAGUUUUCUGUUCACAGUUUGCAAAAUCUGAUAUAAAGUCGCCUCUAUAACUGGCUUCAUCGUGGAUUAAUGUAGUCUAUUAUUUUUUCUUUCUCUUUUACUGUUUCGCCAUCUUGUAGCUGGAGCCAUCAGUCUGUUUCCUCCACGUUUAUGAUUUCCUUCCUUAUCCCUCCACAAAUUUAUAUUAUAUUUAUGAUAAAAUAUAAUAUUUUCAUAAA